UACGACGGGGGCUAGCGUUGUUCGGAAUUACUGGGCGUAAAGCGCACGUAGGCGGAUUUGUUAGUCAGGGGUGAAAUCCCGGGGCUCAACCUCGGAACUGCCUUUGAUACUGCAAGUCUCGAGUCCGAGAGAGGUGAGUGGAAUUCCUAGUGUAGAGGUGAAAUUCGUAGAUAUUAGGAAGAACACCAGUGGCGAAGGCGGCUCACUGGCUCGGUACUGACGCUGAGGUGCGAAAGCGUGGGGAGCAAACAGG
rnacentral:rRNA from 1 species